UUCCGUCCCUUGUAGCACUGCCUUCUGGGUAAUGUAGUUUGACGGAAUCCGGGUGGUACCUGGAGCGCACUUUCUGUUCUCGCAACCAGGAUCUGACCCCUCCCCAUCUGCCCCUCCAGCCCCCAGGGAAGCCAGAACCAGGCACAAACCAGAUGGCCCAGCUUAUGCCCAGCAACUCAGGGUCACCAGAUCUUGUCUCAUCAAGACACUUUCAGCCCACCACCCAAACCUGUAGCCCACAUGAAGAGGGCAAUAAUCCUGGACACUGUGAAAAGUAAAAGCAUUACAUCCAAAGAGGCAUCCCCAGGAUGGAGCAGAAAUAAGAAAACAUAAUGAAGACACAAUUUUGCAAUCACUUCUGCCUAUAUUCCAUGGCCUACAAACCACUCAAAUAGCUCCACAUGUAAGAGAAGCCAGGAUGUGCUGUCCUCCAGAGCAUCCAGAAAGAGAUAAUGGGACUGAUAAGUCCUUGGCCAUUUUCUAGUAAAAUCUAUUAAUUUAGUCA
rnacentral:lncRNA from 1 species